AUCCAGGUCCGCAUCACCAUGAAGUCAACUGCCAGCUUCUGAGCUCAGAAUCUGAGCAGGGUUGAGGCUGGUUAGUACUUGGUGGUGAGACCGACUGGGAUACCCGGUGCUGUAGGUU
ensembl:rRNA 5S_rRNA 5S ribosomal RNA